AUCUCUCUAGCCCAGCUUUGGGGCUUCUUAAAUUAAAUGAAUAAAUUGCUAUUUCCCCAUUUGAGAUAGAGCAGGAUUUAGACAAAAUAAUUUUUACUCUAUCAGAAAAGUUUCAGUCCCCAAAAGUACAGCAAGAAUUUGAACCCAUAGCUGGAAAGCUGCCAGAGUAGCCGCAUAACAGAAUCCUGAGACACUUACCUCUGGGAGUGUCUAUACAACAAGAUUACUGAGAAAGGGCAAAGUAACUCAAAUAUAAAUCCUUUCACACAAACCUUUUGCAUGUAACUUGCCUGCUGGUUUUGUAUUCUAUGUAAUGCUUACUAGUUAAUGGUUUUAGGUAACAAAAAUAGUUUCACUAGCUAUAAAUUUGUAUUUAUAAAAAUCACAAACUAGACACAGAGCCACAUGCUUGUAAUUCCAGCACUUGGGAGGCUGAGGCAGAUGGGUCACAGGUUUGAAAACAGCUUGGACUAGGAGACUAUUUCAAGCACUUGCCUCCACAUAGCAGACUUGACUUUGUCAUAUUAAAAAUAUACUUAUUAGAACAAGUGUUUUACUUUUUGUGUGUAUAUAUAAUGUAAAGAUUUUGUGUGAAACUGGAUUUCAUAGUAUAACCAUUAUUAAGAGCAAUAUAAGCUGUAUUUUAAAAUCUUGUUAUGUCAUUCUAAAACACAGUAAGUCUAGUUCAGGGACUUAUGGACUUACAUACAUACAUGCAUACAUGGACUUAGACACACACAUACAUAUGUACAUAAUAUGUACAUACAUAACAUACAUGUGCAUAUAUACAUAGACCUAGAUAUGCCUUUUAUAUAUGUUGUCUGUAUGGUUUAUUUGAAACAGGAUUUUAUUCUAUAACCCAGGUUGGUCUUGCACUCAGUGAUUCAGCUGUCUCAGCCUUCUCUGAGUGCUAGCACUGUAGGCAUGAGCUUCCACGUCUAGCUAGUGAUAUCUUUUAGGAAAAAAUGGAGAAAAAGCACUGUAGAAAACUACUGUUUUAUUUGGGUGAUAGUGCAUAGCUGUUACUGCAGCACUCAGGAGGAAGAGGGAAGAGGGUCUCAAGUUGAAGGAUAGUCUGGUUUGUGUAGCAAGUUUUUCUUCUGGGGCUGGAGAGACAGUUCAGCAGUUAAGAGCAUUUGUUGUUCUUUGAGAUGAGGCCCAAGUUUGGUUCCCACUAUCCAUAGCAAGCAGCUCUUACAACCACCUGUAACACCAGUUACAGAGAAUUUAAUGCCCUAUUCUGGCCUCUGGAGGCACCUUCAUAUUUAUGGUGUACAUUGUACACUGGUUCACACACAGGCUAAUAAAAUAGCAUUAAAAAUAACAUCAUAAACUUAUAAACAAACAUAAUUAAAUACCUAGCUAAUCCAAGCACAGUGGUACAUACAUGUGACCCAGGCUCUUGAGAGGUAGAGGCAGGAAGAGCAGGUGUUCAGGGUCUUCUUCAACUACAUACUGAAUUUGAGGCCAGCCUAAGCUACAUAAAACCCUGUCUUUUAAAAACAUGGAAGCAGGUUCUUGUCUUAAUCCCACUACUCAGAAGGGAGAGGCAGGGACAUCUCUUAGUUCAAGGCCAGCUUGGUCUACGGAGAGAUUUCUAGGAUACCCAGGGCUACACAGAGGAAUUCUCUCUUGGAAAAAGCAAAAUAAAUAGCAAGACUCGCAUUCUGGAAAUUUCGCUUUGUUUAUCUUCUAUUUGAAAACUAAAUAACUUAGUGAUUCAUUAUUUUUUUUAAUAAAACAUUUACACUUAAUGAAGUUCUCUCCUUUAAGCUUAAUAUAAAGGAGGUUUAUCUUGAAAUUAUUUUUUCUAAAAUUUUAGCUAGUUGUGGUGGUUUAUGCACAUAAUUCGAACAUUAAAGAGGUUAAAGAAAUAGGAUUUCCAUGAGUUUGAGGGCUGGGUGGGCAGUGUAAUGGGCUCAAGGCCACUCUUUAUACAUAAUUGAGACCUUUUGUCAAAGAAUGCCACAGAAUAUCAAAGAAUGAGAGAUGGCUCAGUGACUUAAGAGUACAGGCUGCUCUUUCUUUCACAUAACCCACUGGGUUUGGUUCUCAGCACUCUCCUAGUGACUCACAGCCAGCCAUUAAGUUCUAGGGACUUCUCACCUGCUGACUAGGUCUUUAUGUGAUGCAAAUAUACACAUGUGGACAAAACACUUAGACACAUACAAUAAAUACAUCUUUUUUAAAAGCCUGAAAAAUAGCACUCCCUCUCCAAAUUUAAAGAGCAGAAUUUUGAGAUCUUUCUUUGG
rnacentral:lncRNA from 1 species